UGGUUACUCUGUGUCACCCUGUGCUGAAUCGGGCAGGACUGGACCAGUGAGAGGCCAACUAGCCUGGGAGGAGAGCAGCAGAACUGCAGGCGACAAGCACCCACCCAGUCUCAGUCUGGGUUCAAAGCCCGCGCUCCACCUGGGUCCAGGAUGUCUGUGCACAGCUGACCUCUCCACAGUCCUAUAAAUUAUCUUGAUCGUGGUAUUUUAUCACAGAAUAGAAAUAAGCCAUAUGGGAAGAAGCUCACACUGAUUCUAGACACUCCAACAGCUAUCGAAGGGUCUGAAGGCCGACCCUGUGCUCCACCCUCUGGAUAACAACCACAGAGGACAAAGCAUGAGGAGUCCUUGGAAGACUGGGGUUGGAGCCCAAGUCUUAUUUCUUGUUAGAUCAAGAGAUCCUAAUGUGGUUUGAUACAGAAAAUUCCCAACGUGUCCUCUGUCCUGACUUCUCCUGGUUCCCUGACUAGAACCUAUAACAUGAAAAACUCUUCACUUGUCCCUCGCAUCUCUUUCCAGGCCUCAGUCAAGGACUUCCUGUCCUCCCUACAUUUGGCCAUUGCACAAGUGAGGGUCUUGUACAGAAGCCCACUGGGAGGAAACGGAUUGCUGCAUAUGAUCCCGCUGUGGCUUCAGCAAGAAGUCAUCUCCCUCCCAGGCCCCUCCAUUUGAACACCAGGCACGUCCCAGUGCACCAAGAGAGAAAGCUUCCCUCUCCCACCCCGGAAAGAUGAUGCAUUCGUUGGGUCCAGGCUUCCCUGUCUUCGGAAUGAUCGCCUAAGCCUCAGACCCUGGUUCUCUCCUAGAAGAUCUCCUUCCAGCGGUAAAAGAUCAAGGUGCUGCCCCCAAGAGAACAGGCUUCACUCUAUCCAUUCCCAAUGGACUGACUGCAUGGAGGGGGGGAUGAGGGAGGGGGCUCCCAUCAUGCCAGUCAUGGUCAAGGUGUCCCCUCACUGGGAACGGGCCUCAGAGUAGGACACAAGUGGCCUUGUCUGAGUCCCUCUCCAGGAUUCUCAGUCGUGCAUUCAAGGUUGAGUAGUGAUCUUCUCAAAUCCUGGUCCCAAGAUUUGACAACAAGGCAGCUGGUGACCAACUACUUCCCUGGCACUGACAAAAAUCUGAAUGACGGAGGCCCAGCUGUGGAGGAGGAAGAGACAGAAGGGCUUAGACUGGGCCUCUGCUACAGGCUUGCUAGCUUGGGUAUUUUAUAGAGACCGUGGAUCCUCCCCUUUCCCUCUUGACCCUGUUUAGAAACCCACCCCAGUGCCUUCCCACUGAGUCUCAGAGUGCAUUCAGGGAACAAGAAGCUGCCCUCGCAAGGAGCCUGCUUUACUUCCGGUGUUCACCAACGUCCUCGCCUGCCGUUUGUUUGUUUUGUUUGCUUGUUUUGCAGGUCAGGCAUGGACCCCAGAGCUAAGCAGUGGUCAGCCACACUCCCUCUCCUCUUUCGUCUAAUAGACAGUUACUUUAUUUUGUUUACACAAUGUUUUUGUUAAGUGUCAGUUGCCUUCCAGCACAGUGUUGGUGAAAUCCACCUGGUCAUAACCUGCGAUGCUGGAAUUCUGCAGCCUUCUAAAACGUCUGUAACUUUAAAAAUCCAAGUUCUCUCUACAAAUUCAAUGUCUCCGUAAAAGUCCAGUCUGACAACUAUAUAGUAAAAGAAAAAAAAAUCAGUUAACAUACUUUCUUAGUCCAAGAGGCACUUUGAGUCAGAUCAAAGCACUUUAGUUUAGAUCAAAGUAAAUUCAAAACACAGAUGUGUACAUAAAACCUUUUAUGCGUCCAGCAUCUGGAACUCACAAUCUUCUGGGCUCCAACGGGGCCUCAGCAGCGCCAUUUCUCUGCCUCUUGCACUUUCGGUUCAACUUGUCUCAUUAGGCUCCAAACACUCGCUGUUCUCCAUUGGCCCCUCAGUCCUUCAACUUCCGUGUUCUUGGGACAAGGACUGUCAGCCUGGAGUUUUCCCUAAG